GCGGUGUUGGUCUAGCUCGGUAUGACACCAGCUUCCCAAGCUGGGUAUCGCGGGUUCAAAUCCCGUGCACCGCA
rnacentral:tRNA from 2 species